AAAAGAUCUCCUCUGGUUUCCUUCCCCACACACGCGACCCUCUCUCUCCCUCUUUCCUUUCCUCUCCUCCAACGCCCAGCUCCUUUCCUGCUGCUCCGCCGCGCCGCCUCUUUCUCCGCCAAAUACACCGCGUGCCGCCGCCCGUGCUCGUGCCCUUUUCAUCUCCCGUCCCGAGCUCCACCUCCUCCAGCUUCAUAUCCCCGAUUUCAGGGGCGAUUUGGAUCUCGGGAGCACACGGGAGGGAGGCGAGGUGCUUGUUGCUGGGAGAGGGGCGAUGAGGAGUCUCGGCCCUAGGAUCCUUCCCUCUCGUGGGGCUAGGCAUCCUGUCCGCGCCGCGACGCCGCCGGCAUGGAGGCCCUGGCUCGGGCAGCCGCCGCAGUGUCGGGUGGGCCGGCGAGGUCUCUGGGGUCCGUGCAGCGGGCGUGACCUCUCCCGGCUCCCCACCCUCGUCCGCGACGACGAGGACCAAGAUGCAUUUACGGUGUUGUCUGGUGCGUCGUCAGGUUUGGUUGGUCUGAGGCGAGGUAUGCUCCUGAGGCUGAUGGAUGGAUUGAUGUGUGCACGCUUGUAUGCAUGUACAUAUGGAUAUCAGGGUGCUUUCCUACUUAUGUGAUGUUUCUUGGGUUCAAUGCAGCUUGCCCUUUUGUUGAGAUUUCUUAGUUCAGUAAGCAAACUUCAUUUUGGCUCUGCACCACGAUUUCUAAAAGUUAAGGAAAUCACUUGCUUGACUGGUUCAGUACAGCUUGCUACUUUUUUUUAGAUUUGUUAGUUCAGUUAGUAAACUUCAGUUUGGGUUUGCACCACAAUUUCUAAUUUCAAUGAAGGUUUGAGUUUGUUUUAUCCAUUUAUGCUGCUUCAUCUACAGUGAGUUUCAAGAUAUAUUUGACGUGGGCUGCUUCAUAGCAUCAUUGAGAGGAGAAUUGAAUGCGGAAAGAGUUGACUCCAUUCUGCCGGUCGGUUGAUAUUACCAUAAUCAACUUUGCUUGCAUCUCUGAAUUAUACGCACAGCCAGAUAAGGAUUGUCGGUGUUUAUUUUGGAGAAGAUGGAUUCAAAAGAUACCAAUCAGAUAAUGAUUUAUCUUUCCAUGUACACAGUGGCGGAGCUUCAGCCUAAAUCAUGGGGGGGCAUGGCCUUGAGGGGGGGCAAACAUGAUUAUUUUCAGCUGAUUUUUGGUAGAAAAUAGCCCUAGAACAAAGGUAUAUAGGCUUGGUUUGUUGUGAGCUGAGGGGGCCAUGGCCCAGGUUGGCCCCCAUGAAGCUCCGCCACUGCAUGUACAUAUUGUUGUAUGGGAUUCUUUCUACGCAUAAUGUAUACUGCUUUUGGGUUUCUUACUCAGUAUCUAUAAACCACUCGGAAAUAUAGGAGUACCUUUGAGUGAACAAAUGGUCAUUUUAAAUGUUAAACUGCUGCAUACUGUGAUGUCAAGAUCAAGAUCUUACUUGUCAUUCAUGCACUGAAUUUAGAAUCUGGAAAGUCAAAAAAAGGAAAUUAAUGCUAUUGACCUCAGUUAGACCAUUUUGCUGAAGAUUCGAAGAAUCUAAACUAGCUGUCACGGAUGGAAGCUCUUCCUCUUUGGUGGUGGACAGGAGGAGCACGGGUGCCCGGGACAACGUCAACGACGAGCCAGAGGAGACACAGUGGAUUCAUUGUCUGCUUCUGCUGCUGCUCGUGUGGACUCUGCACCAUCCUGGCCUUGAAUUACCCCAUCUUAUAUACACAACAUACAGGUACAACCUCCUUUUCGGUAAAAAAUGAGGGGCGAUGAUGAUGACUCUGGCUGAAAUAAGCAUGUCUUGAGCAAUCAAGACUGCUGUGGCCUGUGGGUACUAAAUUAGAGCCCACUCUUACCUCUCUUGCAGUCUGUUCAAUUCAUCAGUAAUGUUGGAGGUUCUGCGCCUCGGAUGGUCAUUUUGGCGAGUGAUAACCAGGGCAUUCGUUUACAUUGCGAUGGGUAUGUUACGCAGCAAGAGAUGUGAGUGUUGGGCUUGAAGAUCAAAGACAAAACUGAGCCCUCUUUUGCUAUGCUAUAGAUACACAAAUUUUCCUUAUCUAUUAAUAAUAGACAAAUUUGCCUUAUCUAUUAUACAAAUACAUUGUAUAAUAGACAUACAAUGUUCUUCUUUCUUCUGUAUUCCUCUAUUGUGUUGAUGUGAGUGAAGAUCCGUCUGGACUUGUGAUUUAUGUCUUUUUUUGGUGAUGAACACAACCACCCAUAGCUUACUUGAAUUGAUUCAUGGUCGCGCUGGACAUUCCCCAUGACGCUGCCGGCGCUGAUGCCACGGCUUGCGCUUCUCACCCAGCCAAGUUGAGCUGGUACCGGCUACUGCUAGCGGCAGUACCACAAGUAAUGGCAUCGGUGCGUUUCUUUUUGUUCUAGGAGCGGUUGGAUCUGUACAUUUUACUGGCUUAGGUAGGUGCACAUGCCUUAGCAAGAUUCUGCUCAUGCGAUGCGAGUUGAGCGGUUGGACUGAUUUCCUUGAUGUACUUGCGACCAAAUCUGAAAGUGGCGCUUGCGUUGUGAUUUGUGUAGCACGCAUUUUACUUAGUAGUACUUUCAGUUAUGAAAGUUAUUUGCGGUAUCAUAUGAGAGGUCGGCUUUGCUUGGUCCUGGUUUUGUCAUGCGCGGAGCUUUAUUAGUAUUCCUUGUCAGUCUGCGUCGUCAAGCAGACCAGGUAAUGUCUUCCAACACAACAGGAUCUUGCAAAGUUAGCAUUGAAUUUGUUUGCGUUAAGACAUGUUUUUCCCCUACAAAUUCAGUUUUUCAACAUGGUUGCCUCCUCUCUCUGUCCAUGGUUACUGAGGCAAGUAGAAUUGUUCUUCAUUUUCCAACUAAAGUGAAAAGUUCCACGAGCAAUUGCAAUUUCAAAUUCAAAUGAUUGUCACUCGAUUCAGAUUAUUUUACCACAAAAGCAACUUGGCUGCAAGUCAGACAUUUGAUGAUUCACUUUCUGGCUCUGAAAUAAUUAUCGCUGGAUAAAUUUCUAAAUUAAGUAUGCAUUGUUUCACCGUGACAAGCAUGCUGGUAUACAUUUGCUAGGUGUCUUAUGUUGCUCGUACACUCACAAUGUCGUGCCAAAAGGGAAGUUAUUUUCAUCUGUGUCUGCUGAAGCAUAGACUAAUACCCCACUGUUCGUACUAAAGACUGGAAUUGAUCUAUGUUUUUUAUAUAUAUGACAGAUAUGAACCAGUUAAUUUUUUGAGCAACCAUAUGAACCAGUUAAUGAAUCUUCUCUUUAUAAUUGUUGUCAAAUAAGUAAGUUUUGCUUUAUAUGAGAAUACAGUGUCAGUCUCAUGUUGUAGAUGUUCAUGGCCUUUCUUUUUUUCUCUUUGUAGAGUUUUGAUGCUAUUUCUACUCACUUUGAGACAACUCUGAUAGGUGUUAUUGACACUUUUGGCAAAGAUGAUGACAUUUCUUCAACUUUAUGUAUGCAUGAGUGAGCCUACUCUUUUCUGUUCAAGUACUUCAUAUUUUCCCUUAGUUUUUUGUUGUGAGGUGAAGGUGAGUAAAGUUGGAAGCUACCCUAUGAAUAAAGGAGGAUCCACCAGCAGGUCAAUUAACUCCUCAUUCUGCAAUUCGUGCCUGAUCUUAGCAGAAGUAAAUCUUUGUGAUAUUAGCGACCAUUUCCGUAUUUAAAGACUAAUCAAUGCCCAACCACCAUCCACGGGUAAAAUGUGGCAUGAUUUACGAAGGGCAAUUUGUCAAAAAUGUUUGGAUAUGUGGGAGCGUUGUGCCCAUUCGCAGAAACAUUUUGAACACUCCAUAGUUGGUUUUAUAGAUCAAAGUAUUUGCAAUUUUGAAAUUAUGUGGGGUGUAGGGAACCUGAAUCCCUUAAUUGGUUGGCUGUUUUUUUGUUUGCAAGAAGGCGAAGCAAAUUUUCAGAGAUUCAAGCAUGCUACUAUACAUGCGAUGCUUGGUUUGAGGAGCUUCACAAGCAGAGAAUUGCUGAACUGAAAAGGCAGGCGGCUCGGCACCGCCGACUCCCCACCGGCCAUCGGGCAUGGGCACCAUCCUGAUGCUUCUGUUCUGCGGCUAUUCUUUGGGGGUAAGGAACACAACCUUCAAAAGUUUGCCGGGCGCCCUCGCCCUGGCCAUCCGGCACCACCACGAGCUCUUCCUCGAGAGCAUCCGUGCACUUCGCCUGCAACUCCUGGGUGCAGACCACCGGGGAGCUGCCCGGCAACUCCAAGAGCGUCUUCUAUAGCUACAAGGCAGUAUAUUCUGCCUUACCACUUCAGCUUGGUAACUUGUGCAGCGAUGCUAUUAUGUGGGAUCAAAAGACUGGACGAUCCAGAGGGUCCGGUUUUGUUUCUUUUAGGAAUCAACAGAAUGCACAAACUGCCAUAAAUGAAUUGAUGGUGCACUCCCUGUUGCUUAUUGCUAGCAAUGUCUAAUUCUGGAGUUAACAAAUAAGCUUCAUUGCAACCGCCAAAUCCCCCCCUCCCGUGUUUUUAGGUUCGUAACAGUUGAGUGAUCUUAAUGUGAGGUGGAUGUUCUUCUCUGAUGUACAUGAAUGGGACUUUCUGGUUUGGCAGUGAAUAAUUUGUUGGGUCUCUUGAUAAGAAUAUAUGAAUAUGAUUUAAAAGAGCCAUGACAAAGAUUUUCUAGGA